GACGAACGCUGGCGGCGUGCUUAACACAUGCAAGUCGAACGGAAAGGCCCUGCUUUUGUGGGGUGCUCGAGUGGCGAACGGGUGAGUAACACGUGAGUAACCUGCCCUUGUCUUUGGGCUACCUUCAGGAAACUGGGGCUAAUACCGGAUAGGAGCUCCUGCUGCAUGGUGGGGGUUGGAAAGUUUCGGCGGUUGGGGAGGGACUCGCGGCUUAUCAGCUUGUUGGUGGGGUAGUGGCUUACCAAGGCUUUGACGGGUAGCCGGCCUGAGAGGGUGACCGGCCACAUUGGGACUGAGAUACGGCCCAGACUCCUACGGGGGGCAGCAGUGGGGAAUAGUGCACAAUGGGCGGAAGCCUGAUGCAGCAACGCCGCGUGCGGGAUGACGGCCUUCGGGUUGUAAACCGCUUUCGCCUGUGACGAAGCGUGAGUGACGGUAAUGGGUAAAGAAGCACCGGCUAACUACGUG
rnacentral:rRNA from 1 species